UCAACCUGGAGCAACAACGUUCUUGGCGCUUUUCCGGGUGUUGGGCUCUCCCCUACUCGGAUCGUAUCCUAGGAAUGUCCUAACUGUGCCCGUGGGGAGAACUUCACCCUGAGCCCGGGAUUCCGUUCCAAGAACUGCAAGUUGA
ensembl:miRNA